UUAUCUUACACUCUUAAAAACAUAUUGGUUAAAAAUAACUUUAGCCCCAAACAUAGCAACAUGUAGGCUUACCCUUUCUGGAACAUUUAUGUAGGCCUACCUUUUACAAAUAAUUCACAAAAAGGCCUAAACAGUAAUGUGUCACUCAAAUGUUGUUGGGGGAGGGGAUUUUGGAGCAACCGUUACUUUUUUCUUCAAGUCAACUUCAGUCCUCACUCACUCACCAAGUGAUGCAGCAACUUUCAACAGAGGAGCUUCUGGAGUGUGAGAGAAAACACGUUUGUAGGAUGGAAUAAUCUUUGUGGAAGAGGAGGCACAGCUAUUCAGAGGGUUCCCUCCAAUGCAGAAUAUGGGCAGAAUAAGUGCUAACAAUGAAGUACCUGUCCAGAAGGAUCUAACAGCUAUAUCUUUCCCGAGUCUCUCUAUUUCAUCAAGACAAAAGUCCAUGUCUCUUUGAGAGGUCUGUGGAGAGAUGACAAUCAUGCGGAAGAAGUUGACCUGUCCAUUCAAUGGUUGAUAUCCCACCAUCAUUGUUCCCUCCUUCACCAUUUGUUCCUUUAUGGUUGGGGCCACCUGCCAAUAAAGAUUUGUGGCGUUA